rnacentral:rRNA from 1 species
GACGAACGCUGGCGGCGUGCUUAACACAUGCAAGUCGAACGGAAAGGCCCUGCUUUCGUGGGGUUCUCGAGUGGCGAACGGGUGAGUAUCACGUGAGUAACCUGCCCUUGACUUUGGGAUAACUUCAGGAAACUGGGGCUAAUACCGGAUAGCAGCUCCUCCUGCAUGGUGGGCGUUGGAACGUUUCGGCGGUUGCGGAUGGACUCGCGGCUUAUCAGCUUGUUGGUGGGGUAGUGGAUUACCAAGGCUUUGACGGGUAGCCGGACUGAGAGUGUGACCGGCCACAGUGACACUGAGAUAGGGCCCGAACGACCACGUGAGGCAGCAGUGGGGACGAUUGCACAAAGUGCGGAAGCCUGAAAGAGCAACGCCGAGUGUGGAAGGACGGCCUUCGGGAGGUAAAACCCUUUCGCCUAUGACGAAGCGUGCGGGACGGUAAUGAGUAAAAAAACACCGGCUAACUACGU